rnacentral:rRNA from 1 species
GACGAACGCUGGCGGCGUGCUUAACACAUGCAAGUCGAACGAUGAUGCCAGCUUUCUGUUUGUUUGAUGUCUACCGCGUGCGUAACACGUAAGCAACCUUCCCCUCUCUUCCUGAUAGCCACCGCCAACCGUGGCUAAUGCCGACUAUGACUCGCUUUCUCAUGCUGUUGGUUGGAAAGUUUUAUCGGUUGGGGCUGGGCUCGCGGCCUAUGAGCUGGUUGGUGUGGUGAUGGCGUACCGAGGCGACGACGGGUAGCCGGGCUGAGUGGGUGACCGGACACACUGGGACUGAGACACGGAGCAGACACGUACGGAAGGCAGAAGAGGGGAAUAUGGCACAAUGGGCGAAAGCGCGAGGAAGAGACGGGGCGUGAGGGAUGACGGCUGUGGGGUUGGAAACCUAUUUAAGUAGGGAAGAAGGUGUUCGGGUUGACGGUACCUGCAGAAGAAGCGCCGGCUAACUACGUG